CUCAUUAUAAAGCCAAGCACUGGUUACACAUACAUUUGUAAAAAUCCAGCCAGCACGAACUGUAAAUUAAUGAUACAAAAUUCACAUUUAAGAUUCAUCAUUAUUGAGAUAGCAGCACGUGAAUUCGUUACAAUGACAUCCAGACAGCUGAUCGAUAUAUGCAUAUCAGGAAUACCAAUACUCGGAGAGCUAUGAUAGCAGUAAUAGAAGCUGAAUUAUAACGAUUCAAUAUCGGAAAAAAAAGAUAAUUAUCAACAGCAUCGUAUCGCAAUGUGAUCUAAAUUGUGUUCGUGCGCCGUGAAACCAAAAUGUAAAAAAAAAGAAUAAAUAUGCGACAAAUUUGGUAUGUGAAUCAACUUAGGAAGAUUCCUUUAAACAAUAUCAUUGUUGACUUUAGCUUAGGAGACUUCAGCGAACAUGGUUUAUACUGUCGCACAACGUCAAAAUAAAAAGCUACAUUUAAAGUUAUGGAAGCCAGAACUAUGUUGACAUAAGAACGUCUGCUAUGAACAAGUCUUUGGAGACAGACAAAAACCUCCUAAAACAAGGUCCAGUGAAGUCAACCUGACAUUUGACUUACAACAAAGGCAUGGUUACUAUAAAUAAAGUGUUAAUUACGAUAAUACAAAAAUAUUAACAAAGACUUUCGUAUAUUCUCAGUAUGCCCAUAUUUCAAAAAACAUUCAAACUGAAUGGCAAAGAUACCAGACAAAACUAUCAAUGUACAAUAAAGCAUAACAUUGACUUUUCUAGUUGUUGACCUGGCGUUUGCGCAUGAUUGAUAUUCACUACGUUCAGCAAUAUUAUAAUGCAUAGUUAUUUCAAAACUCUCCCUGUCAGAAUGAUAGAAAUGAUGACUGGACACGACCAUCAAUGCAUUAUACAAUAUACAAAAAAAAACACAUUGCUUAUUUGUCAUAUAAAAGGGUGUGUAAAUGUCUGCGCAGCGGACACAUUACCAGCAGAAAGUAUACGAUGCCAAGCGCCAUACCACUAUCCGGAAGAACAUAAAGUAGCUAGGGAACUCGUGUUACAAACCAGCCAAUGGCAAGAUCAGACCCAAACGGCAGAUUCGGGAGG